rnacentral:rRNA from 1 species
UACGUAGGGAGCAAGCGUUGUCCGGAAUCAUUGGGCGUAAAGCGCGCGUAGGCGGCCCUGUAAGUCCGUUGUGAAAGUCAAAGGCUCAACCUUUGAAAGCCGAUGGAUACUGCAGGGCUAGAGUCCGGAAGAGGCGAGUGGAAUUCCUGGUGUAGCGGUGAAAUGCGCAGAUAUCAGGAGGAACACCGGUGGCGAAGGCGGGUCUCUGGGCCGAAAUUGACGCUGAGGAGCGAAAGCGUGGGGAGCAAACAGG